CAGCGGAACUUGGAUCGUCAUGCUGCCGUCAAGCGAACACAAGCACGGCGGGCUUGGAUUUACGAUCUCAAGUUGGGCCCCUUGGAUACAGAAAGUUGUGUGGGUUUCGAUAUUGAAACAUCGCAAGCCCAAAGCGUUGUUCGCUAACGAUGGAUGACAUUCGAGCGCGUUCCCUCUCUCUCUUGUUGGAAAGGGAUCAUGCGUGCCGAUGUCGAUCGAGGAGUGCUACCUGGUUGAUCCUGCCAGUAGUCAUAUGCUUGUCUCAAAGAUUAAGCCAUGCAUGUGUAAGUAUGAA
rnacentral:misc_RNA from 1 species